rnacentral:rRNA from 1 species
UGCAUCGAUGAAAAAACGCAGCGAAAUGCGAUACGUAAUGUGAAUUGCAAAUUCAGUGAAUCAUCGAGUCUUUGAACGCACAUUGCGCCCCCUGGUAUUCCGGGGGGCAUGCCUGUCCGAGCGUCAUU